rnacentral:lncRNA from 1 species
UCCAAUUUUUAGAUGGGUCCCAAUUGUCAGAUUUUUCCUGGCAGUGGAUCCACAUCACUUUUUAAGUAGUAUAUAUCAAAUAGAAAGAAGAGAAGAAUAUGAAAAUCUUCGAAUAACAACCAAAAUAGGUUUAUUACAAUAUAUUAUGUACAGAAUAGAACAUGUGAAACUCCAUACAUUCGUUCACAUCACAACAACCAGUUUAAACUACAAAUAUUGCAUGCCCAGGAACUUAAAACUUCACGUACAUAACCAUACAAUAUUCCAGACAAUCACAAAUAUUGCGAUUGAAAAAUAAAAUGCUCUGCCAAGUUAAAGCUAGCUACUCUUGGAUACCACGGAACAUGCUCUUCAACAUAGGAAGAAGUCAUCAAUGAUGUUCUACCAACAACACAAGCUCCAUUCACCUACAAGAACAGAAUGGAAUAUCAAGUACUUGGAUCGUUCAAGAAGAUUACAACCAACAUAUAUAUGUAGAAGUACAUCAGGAAAUAUGAUGGACCAAUCGGACAACAAAUACAUUAAGUAAACAGCCCAACCGAUGAGUGAUGACGACAUGCAAAGAGUAUAAACCCAGGUUUGGACAUAAAUAGCGUCAACUCAAGCAGAACAUAAUAAGGUAGUUAACUCAAGCAGAACAUAAUUAAGUACGAUGAAAGGGACCAUCCAAUUAAAUUCCAUUCUUAUCUUCUUCAGUAAGGACAGGCAAAACAUCCCAUUUCUAGUAUUAUGUCUGAAAAAUCACUAGUAUUAUGUCUAAAAAAUCACUAGUAUUAUGUCUGAAAAAUCACUAGCUAGCAUGCUGCAUUACUAGUCUGCCAAAUAUGCAUUUCUGGUGAAUUAUGUCUGAAAAAUGCAAUGGAACGGAAACGAAUUCAGGAAACACAACACGUAGAGCCACUGAAGAAAUGAAAUUGCGCAGGCGGUUCAGGAUAUAAUGACUCGCCCAGGCUCAUGAUACAAUGACUCACACAUGGCUUGCAAGGCCAAAUAAGGAUAUUGACCCAUGAGGGAAAAGUACAAAAUAUUGCCUACAGGGAUGUUUUAGUAUAACCAUGUACAUGCCGUGUACUGCAGCGUGAUGUCUCUAAUAUGGUUGUAUUCAUGUAAAUAGUACCCAGGAAAAAUAAUAUUAGAUAGGGUUUCUGUCAUUAGCCUAUACUUGUGAAAAUUGUAGACCAAAAGAUAUGUUUGCAUGGCUAAUAUUCUAGCAUAUACAAUACUUAAAUCUAUAGAUUUACCAUCCCUUUCACAGUUAUAGCAUAUAAUAGAAAUCCAGCAACAUAAGUAAGCACAUAUCAUAAGUAAGUACUAGUUCUAUUGAAUUACAGAGAAAGAAAGAGAGUGAAAUAGAUAGGGCGAGAGCAGCAUCAACAGUAGGGGGUUCAGACUUUAGAGAAGACCAGCAGCGAGGUUAGGAGAAGAAGAAGCAAUCGUGGGGAUGGAGAGAGGAGUAGCAGCGAGCAGCAAGAAACAGGUUCAGAGAAGAAGUGCAGCAGUGGGUUUAGUGGAUUCAGAGAAGAGGCAAGCAGCAGGAGGCGCAGAAAUAGAGGAGCAACAACAUGGUUAGCAGCAGCAGCGUGAGGACUUAGAGAGAGCAACAGCUGUUUGAUGAUACGCAGCAAAUCAAAUGAGUUUCCAUCACAAUAGUCUGAAUACGACAGCAACAACAUCAAUUAGUAAAAUUAGCAGCGUCUCGAUCACUGUAUAAUCAAUCAGUAGGCACAAAUAAAAUCAGCAAGCAUAGUAUAAAUCUGGUGCCCCAAAAGGCUAGUGAUGCAAAUAACAAAUCAAGUCUGUGGCUAAUUUGUAAUUCUGGGAAAAAUGUAAUGCGGUGAUGGCUCACAAUGAUGGCUUUGGCAUAGCAGAGAGCAAACUAAAUAAAAAUAGCUUAGUUCACCCACUUGAAUAGAAUAACAACUCAUGUAAACGUUUAAUCAAAACGUGAUGCUUUGGUUUCAGUCAAGGUUUAAUCAAAUCAACACAUACAAAACUGAACCAAGACCUGAUUUGUUUCAUACAUAACUGAACAUCAUAUUCUCCUGCCGUCCAAGCCACAGCCCAGGUUCACAAAGGCUGCUCCUACACGUCUACGCAAGUACAUUACAGGUUAACUAAAGUAGGUCUCUAAAGCUGAGCGGCUGACCGACCAGUGGUUGUUGGGGCCUUCAAGCCAAAGCCUGUUGUUGCUACCAGGAGAAGACUCCAACAAGUCACAACCGACGGUGACCUUGCUCGGCUCAACCCAACAAGAUUCAGCUCAGCUUGCGACAGCUAAAAAAAGAGCGGAACGAUCGAGAUCCACAGACCAGAGCAGUCAAGAAUGAGAGAGCUAAGUCAGACUCUCCGGCCAUGUACCCAGAAAUAACCGAUCAAGUGCACAUGUACCCAGACUAAGGAUCUGGGGCGGAGAGGACAGGGGAGCUCACCUCGCGGCGGAGCGUGUGGUCGAAGGAGCAACGAGCAAGGUCGGGGGCGAGGCCAAAGUGGCCGGAGAUGGAGGCUGGCCGCGCCUGGUCGAAGGAGCGUGUGAUCUCCGUCAUUGCAGCUUCUAGGAUAAUAAUAGACCAAAUUAACUAGAGAUGUACAAAUGUCCAAGCAUCUUUUAUUUAGGAUCAAAUUAAAUAAAGUUCCACCAAUGUCCAAGCAUCUUUUAUUUAGGAUCAAAUUAAGCUUCACAAAGAUGUACAAAUACAAUAUAUAUGAGACUAUAAAGCAUGCCUGAGACUGAGACCAGAUGUAACACAGAAGACAGAAAGUGUGCAAGAUACUCUUGUCAAGUGUAACUUAUGCCAGGUCUGAAUUGCCAUAUAUGCAUUAUUAAUUUGAAUGAGUCAAAUGGAACAGGCUGCUAGUAGAGUGUAAGAGCAUGCCAACCAGAUCGACUUAGCCUAGUCGGAGAAAUACUAGCUAGGACUAGCCCCUUCCAAACAUACUCGGGAAAAUGCUGGGAACAGCAAUACUAGUGACACAUGUGCAAGACGUGCGGCAGCUAACCUAACCAACCCGCGUGUGCAGAAGCACUCCCAACAAAGAGAUCCAUGGAAGCUCAGGAGCUUGAUUGAUCAGCAACCAACUGAAUGGAACCGAGAAAGCAAACCACGACCAAAUCAGACGAGCAUGUGACGGGAUCGAGGUGAAAUUGCAGCAUACAGAUUAAGAGGCUCCUAAUCCCAACACCUAAAUAAACCCUAAAUCCUUGCGUGCGGGAGGCCGAGGUGCAUGAACUGGGGGCCAAUCCGACCCAACGGGGAAUUGAAAAUCGGUAUACCUUAGGUUGGAGAUUCUCCGGCGGCGACGGUUGGUCAUGCGCGGCGGGCAGGGCACGACGCUCCCUGACUCCCGCGGUGGCGUGGACCGCGAAUGGAAGGAACAGGGUGGAAGGUGGGACGAGCGCGGACCACCAUGGCCGACCUCCCUCGAGGACGGACGCGGAUCAGGUCGACGACGGUGGCGUGGAUAUGGGCGCGCGAACGAUCUCCCCGGCUGGCCUUCCCUUCCCUUCCCUUGGGAGAGGAAUUGAAGGUGGGGUCGGCGGCGCUGGGGGGGAGGAGGAUAUCGUUGGCGGCGGGGUUGGGAUCGUGAUCUGGAUCGGGAUCGGGGUCGCGAGAGGAGGGCGUGGGAGGGAGAGAAAGAAAGAAAGAAAGGAGGCGGGGGGUGGAUGGAAGAUGUCCAAACACAAUGCUAGUGUUUUGGCUGAGGUGCGGUUGAUGGGGCGGCAAGGGGUGAGGGCUGCGUGCGUUAUCUGCCUCCGUUAUCUUUGGACCAAUCAAAACGCAAUAUAAUAUUAUGAUCAUUUAAAUUGGUCGCAGUAGAUUUAAAUAUAAUAUGUUAAAUCAUGUUAGCUAUUUUCUUGACUUGAGAAAUUCGAACAAAUUGAAAAAAUGGAAAUCCUUUUCAUCGUGUCAUAAAAUGUGACCUAGUUUUAAGAAAAAAAAAUAACAAACUAGUAAUAAGAUAAAUAUAUUUAAAAGAAGUGUCCUUAGAAAUGCCCGUCAUACUUUUUUUCGAGUGUUUAGAAUGAGUUUUUUUGUGAAGGACCUAUCAUAUAUUUGUUGCAAAAUUGAACCUAAUCAAUUUUCUAAAAUAUUAGGCCAUAUUUAAUGAACAAUUGACCAAAUGAUUAGAAGUCAAAAGUUUUUAUCCACCUCUCGUGAAAAAGACAAAAUAUCAUCGAUUCAGCAGGAAGCAGGUCAAAUUUGCACUGUAGCUGCCUCAUAGUUUGCUCUUUAUUUUUUACAAAAAUAAUUUCUAGGUACAUAAAUAUCUAUUUAAUCAGAGAAAUAUCAAGAGGUUUCCAAGAUUCAACCACUAGCUAGGAACGGUCAAGCCUGCCGUUACGACCGCAUUUUGAAACGGGCAUAAAAAAUUCAAAAAAUUGGAAAACCUUCGCAUUGUGUCAUUAUAUGUGACCAAGUUACCAGGAAAAAUAAUAAUCUUGUAAUACGGCAAUUCUUUUAAAAAAGUGGUCCCAGAAACGAGCUAUCAUUUUUGGAGAUCAAUGGCUCUCAAACCAAAUGAUCAAUCUUAUGGCCACAUUCAUGGGAUGGUUUCUUCAAAUGAUCUCAUAUUGUGCACAAGGGUGCACAUUGGAAUGGCAAACAAUGUUCCCUAAGGAAAUUUUCAUUUUCUUUGGAUGAAAAAAUCAUUUUCCAUUUUUUGGGUGCCCCAAAUGAGGUUUUUUUUGUGAAGAACCUACCAAAUAAUUAUUGCAACAUUGGACCAAAUCAUUUUUAUAAAAUACUAGGCCAUAUUUAAUGCACAAUUGACCAAAUGGUUGGGUGUAAAAAGUUUUGAUCCACCUCUGGUGAAAAAGACAAAUUUCCGUCGUUUCAGUUGGAAGCGGGUCAAAUUCGAACUGCGGCUGCCUCAUAGUUUGCUAUUUAUUUUUUCCAAAAAUCAUUUCUAAGUACAAAAGCAUCUAUUUAAUCAGAGAAACACCAAAAAAUCCAAAAUUCAACCACUAGCUAGGGACGGUCAUUCCUGGCGUUUUGACCGCAUUUUGAAACGGGCAUAAACAAUUCAAAAAAAUCAAAAAAUUGGAAAACCUUCGCAUUGUGUCAUUAUAUGUGACCAAGUUACCAGGAAAAAUAAUAAACUUGUAAUACAGCAAUUCUUUUUAAAAAGAUGUUCUCAGAAAUGUGCUAUCAUGUGUGAAGAUUCAUGGCUUUCAAGUCAAAUGAUCAAUCUUAUGGCCACAUUCAUGGCAUAGUUUGUUCAAAUGAUCUCAUAUUGCGCACAAGGGUGCAUAUUGGAAUGGCAAACAAUUUUGCCUAAGGGAUUUUUCAUUUUCUUUGGACGAAAAAUCAAUUUUUCAUUUUUUGAGUGCCUAAAAUGAGUUUUUUUUGUGAAGGACCAACCAUAUAUUUGUUGCAAAUUUGGAUCAAAUAAAUUUUAUAAAAUACUAGGACAUAUUUAAUGCACAAUUGACAAAAUGGUUGGGUUUCAAAAGUUUUGACCCACCUCUCGUGAAAAAGACAAAUUUCCACCAAUUCAGUAGGAAGCGGGUCAAAUUUGAACUAUAGCUGCCUUAUAGUUUGCUCUUUAUUUUUCCAAAAAUCAUUUCUAGGUACAUAAGUAUCUAUUUAAUCAGAGAAACACCAAAUUUUUUCCAAGAUUCAACCACUAGCUAGGAACGGUCAUGCUCGCCGUUUUGACCGCAUUUUGAAACGGGCAUAAAAAUUCAAUAAAAAUAAAAAAAAUUGGAAAACCUUCGCAUUGUGUCAUUAUAUGUGACCAAGUUACCAGGAAAAAUAAUAAACCUGUAAUAUGGCAAUUGUUUUGAAAAAGUGUUCUCAGAGAUGAGUUAUCAUGUGUGAAGAUUCAUGGCUUUCAAGUAAAAUGAUCAAUCUUAUGGCCACAUUCAUGGCAUAGUUUGUUCAAAUGAUCUCAUAUUGUGCACAAGGGUGCAUAUUGGAAUGGAAAACAAUUUUGCCUAAGGGAGUUUUCAUUUUCUUUGGACGAAAAAUCAAUUUUUCAUUUUUCGAGUGCCUAAAAUGAGUUUUUUUAUGAAGGACCUACCAUAUAUUUGUUGCAAAUUGGGACCAAAUCAAUUUUAUAAAAUACUAGGACAUAUUUAAUGUACAAUUUACAAAAUGGUUGGGUUUCAAAAGUUUUGAUCCACCUCUCGUGAAAAAGACAAAUUUCCAUCAAUUCAGUAGGAAGCGGGUCAAAUUUGAACUACAACUGCCUUAUAGUUUGCACUUUAUUUUUUUGCAAAAAUCAUUUCUAGGUACAUAAGUAUCUCUUUAAUCAGAGAAACACCAAAAAAUUUCCAAGAUUCAACCACUAGCUAGAAACUGUCAUGCCCGCCAUUUUGACCGCAUCAUAUGUGACCAAGCUUCCAGGAAAAAUAAUAAACUUGUAAUACGGCAAUUAUUUUAAAAAAGUGUUCUUAGAAAUGAGCUAUCAUGCGUGAAGAUUGAUGGCUUUCAAGCCAAAUGAUCAAUCUUAUGGCCACAUUCAUGGCAUAGUUCGUUCAAAUGAUCUCAUAUUGUGCACAAGGGUGCAUCUUGGAAUGACAAACAAUGUUGCCUAGAGGAUUUUUCAGUUUCUUUGCACGGAAAAUUCAUUUUCCAUUUUUCGAGUGCUCGAAAUGAGGUUUUUUGUGAAGGAACUACCAAAUAAUUGUUGCAAAAACGGACCAAAUCAAUUUUAUAAAAUAUCAGGCCAUGUUUAAUGCACAAUUGACAAAAUGGUUGGGUGUAAAAAAAAUUAUCCACCUCUGGUGAAAAAGACAAAUUUCAGCCGAUUCAGCACGAAGCGGGUCAAAUUUGAACUGCGACGGCCUUAUAGUUUGCUCUUUAUUUUUUCCAAAAAUCAUUUCUAGGUACAUAAGUAUCUAUUUAAGCAUAACUACAUGGUUUGGUGGUGAUACGUUGAGGUUUGGACGGUGGCCCAGGGCCCCAACUCCAAAGCGCGUAGACUCGCAUGCCCGUCGCGUGGUCACCGCGUGACCGUGGCGUUACCAUGCAUUCUGGGAAGCCUAGGAAUGUCUAGUAGGUUUGGCACUCCCCAGGUAGAUGCUUGGAAGAAAAUAACAAUAGAUGAAUUUCACGAGGAGACUGAACAAUGCUCAAACAUGAAUUAACCCCCAAAUGUUUGAUUAGUGGUACGGAAAAUACACAUGGCCAAUGGGCCUGAGUUUUGGCCGAGGAUGAUCAUCUACUAAGGACACUAUCUUGGAAAAUUUGCAGUUCAAAUGGAGGAGCCUAGGUGUCACUUGCUUUGCAACAUACCACACUGGACAGAAAUAUUAAUGUUGAAGCCAUACUCACUUGUAUUGUUAGAUGGGGCUCAAAUUUUGUGGAGAGCAAUGAUUUGGGAAUAUAGAAGAUGUGGCAAAAAUUCGACUCAUUAGGAUAUGCCUAGAUAGUACUUCCUUCACAAUAGUUCGAGUUGAACAAAAACUUUGGAAAUUUGCAGAGGAAGAUUUACCAGGUAAAUGGAGUUGAAUAUUGUCACGAGGCAAUGAUUUGGAUAGUAAAGAAUGCCCAAUUUUUUGGUAAUUUUGGGAAUGACAGAAAUAUAGGCUGCUUCACAAUCUAGGGAAAAAAUUGACACAUGGACAUGACACAUAGGCAAAACUAAUGAGGUGGCGCCUAGUCAUAGCAAUAAUUACCAAUGCAUCCAUGUUCACAACCUCAUGACCAUUUAUAUUGGUCGUAAUCAAGUAGAAAUAAGGUCAUUGGUGUCUCUUGUCUGCUUUGUGACCAUUUGGUGUAAGCAAUUUCAGGGUUUGAGCCCUUCCAAGCGAAAUGGCCGUGAAUUUACGACCAAUUCAGCUGGGGUCACUAAGAGAAGGUCACAAGUUGACAUAUUUCUUGUAGUGAGGUAAUACCCUAUGUCCUGAUUGCUUGAUGUUGAUGAAUACGAGUAUUACAAGAGCUGAUCUACCUCGAGAUCGUAAUGGCUAAACCCUAGAGGUCUAGCUGGUAUGGCUAUGGUAAUGAAUCUCCGUCCUUUCCAGACUAAGCCUUCCGGUUUAAGAGGCCGAACUCGCCAAGGCUCGUAAGAGUGCGGAGACAGCCCGGAGUGAAGCCUAGGGUGCCCUCCAUGAGAUCCAAGAAGCCAGGAAGAUUGCGGCGGGUAAGGCAUUCAAUAUGCAAAGCAAGAAUGUGAAGAGGAAAUCUCUUUUACUGACCUGGAUUCGGAGUUCUCCAGGGGCUUUUGUUGAUCUUCCAUGCAGUGUGACCGACGCCACAGAGUUCUUCCGAGCCGAAGAAGGGGGCUCCUCGGAGAAGCUGUUCUGGUCGCAAUAUCUUGUGCCGGAACAUCUGGUGCCCUUCAGCGAUCAGCUAAAACAGCUGGUCGAUCUGCAUAGGGUGGCCGAAAUGGCCAUGAAGGAUUUAACAAUCCGGCUAUGGCCAGCCGAAGCUAUACCCAACAAUUACUUGGGCCUCGUGGAGAGGCUGGUUCAUGCCUGUCCUCGGCUGGACGUCAUCAAGCGGUGUGUCUGCAUUGAAGGCGCGCGUCUGGCCUUCUCCUAUGUCAAGGUCUGGUGGGCGAAGAUGGACGCCGUCAAGUUGGCGACCGAGGGGCCGCCUGAGGGAAAGGAGCACCGCACACCCGAGCGAUACUUGGGCGAUGUCUUGGAAGGGUCCCGUAUUGUUGCGAAUCAUUGUGCGAAAGACACUAUCUUUGAAUGAACGUAUUCGAGCUCCCUCUACCCUAUAUGGUAAAACAAAGUGAUUGUGCAAUAUAAUGUUGGUUAUGUUUUUAAAUUUUUAGUUCCUGUGCGGCCGUGUUGUAUGAAAUCUGAGGGUUAACCAAUCGUUGGCUUCUGCCCCCAUGUAGGUAGUACGGGGGUGUUCAGGAUGGAAUCUAAACAAUCUUGAUCCAAUUAGAUGGUCCUUGAAGGAGUUUUUUAGCGCAACGAACCAGGCAACCAGACUAUGCGGCUGUAACGCCCCCACUUAGCCAUAGGAGUUCGACAAUAAAAACAUGGGCACAGCCUCUAGUAUCCAAACUAGAGUGCUAUAAGCGUCUGAUCGGGAAGUACCAAUCCUUCACAUAAUGCGGAAGAAAUCUCCAACGAUUUGUAACCUCCGAACAACUGACCGGCUCUCGCCGCAUCGUGACAGUCAGUUUUCGGCUUUCUCUACUGAGGUGCUCCUUUGGAUUAACUAAGGCACAAUUGUAGUAGUUCUCCCUUUACUACCUUAGCCGAUAUAGCAGAACGUAAGGUUGCAAGCACAGGAGCUGGGCAACCCAACUAUUGACCAAAGACAUGAUUCGGAGCCAAUGCAUAUAAUGCUAAAUUCGGGGUGCCGAACUUUACUUAUAAAAAGUGUUCGGACUUUUGUUGUCGUAACGUGGGGUGCUAUGAAGCCCAUGGAAAACAUCAAACGUACCAAAGUGUACGGGUGCUACCAGAUAGGGUUAUCCACAGGGGAGCUGAAAACGAGAAAGGAAACAGAAAAUGUAUGAAGGUAAAAAGCUGGGGUCCUACAGCUCCAGCCGCAAACUGUUCUCAUUGUAAUUUAAUUAGUACGUCAAGGCGCAUUGAUAUAGGUAGUGCGAUAAGCAACAGGCUAAUUGACAUGCCGAUACCAAGGGUCACGCUGCAUGCGGGUCCUGAGAAACUGGUAGAGUUAUCGUUAAUGGAAUCACCUAAAAAAGUCCCCCAUAUGUCUGCGUUUCUCGCUGUCUUGGUGUGUUUAUCCUUCAAGAGGACCGAUGACCAGACCACCAGAUGGUGCCUGUGGGAUUGAGACCUGAAAAGGAUACCAGUAAAAGUGAAAUUAUGUGUGUAUCCAUUAUCGGUUGAGCCGUACUAUGGACCACAAGCUAGCUAUGUCUCCGUUGAUGCCCAUGGGAUUUUGAGUGCUAAUUAUGUAUGUGCGGCACGAAAGCCAUCACUUGAUUGGGACUGAUACGGAGGCCGUAUUGCUACUCGAGCUCCUGACGAGCCGAGCUCUCCUACUGCAGAGUAGUUCGGACCCUCUUAACGGUGUCCGUUGGCUAGGCAGUCGAAUUAAAGUUCUGCUUGAGAAGGCCGCUCUAUAGUUUUGCUGGUAAGGCAGCCGUGUGCUCUUCUGUACGGAGGGAGUGUUCCGUAUUUCCAUUGACUGUUAUAACGCCACAUGGACCGGGCAUCUCGAGCUUGAGGUAAGCAUAGUGUGCUACUGCGUUGAAUCAAGCAAACGCAUUUCGUCUGAGCAGUGCAUGAUAGCCGCUAAGGAAGGGGACGAUAUCGAAGAUUAACUCCUCACUUCGGAAGUUGUCCGGAGAUCCGAAGACAACCUCCAGUGUGAUUGAGCCCAUACAACGGGCUUCUACACCUGGUAUGACGCCUUUGAAGGUAGUCCUGGUGGGCUUGAUCUGUGAUGGGUUAAUGCCCAUUUUUCGCGCUGUAUCCUGAUAGAGGAGAUUGGAACUGCUACCUCCGUCCAUAAGGAUGCGAGUCAGGUGGAACCCAUCAAUUAUUGGGUGUAGGACCAGUGCGGCUGAGCCACCGUGAUGGAUACUGGUCGGAUGAUCCCGGCGAUCAAAAGUGAUCGGGCAUGAUGACCGUGGAUUAAAUUUUGGGGCGACUGGUUCUAUCACGUAGACGUCCCUGAGCGCACGCUUGCGCUCCCUCUUGGGGAUGUGUGUAGCGUAUAUCAUGUUCACCAUUUUGACAUGAGGGGGGAACUUCUUCUGUCCCCCUGUGUUCGGUUGCUGGGGCUCUUCGUCAUCGUCCUUGCUUUGCGAUCCCUUUUCCCUGUUUUCUGUGUUUAAUUUACCGACAUGUUUAAAAACCCAACAAUCUCUAUUUGUAUGAUUGGGUGGUUUGUCUGGGGUGCCGUGAAUCUGGCACGGACGAUCAAGUAUGCGGUCCAAGCUGGAUGGGCCUGAAUUGUUCUUUUGGAACGACUUCCUUCGCUGACGGGACUUAGAGCCCCUGAAUCCGGCAUUGACCGUCGUAUCCUCAGUAUUUUCAUUAUUGUUUCGAUGAUUGUAUUUGUUGUGUCGAGACUUGUCUUUGCUAGUUUUAGCUUCAGGGGUGCCGGCCUCGCUUGCAUUGUUUUUGCUACGGGACAACCAGUUGUCCUCGCCCGCACAAAAGCGGGUCAUGAGUGCCGUGAGGCCGCCAUGGAUUUUGGCUUUUCUUGGCCGAGGUGGCGAGUGAGCCAUUCGUCUCGGAUGCUGUGUUUGAAGGAUGCUAGGUCUUCGGCAUCCGGACAAUCGACGACUUGGUACUUUUUAGUUAAGAACUUAGUCCAGUAUUUCCUGGUGGACUCAUCGGGCUGUUGAACUAUAUGGCUUAAGUCAUCAGCGUCCGGAGGUCGAACAUAUGUACCUUGGAAGUUAUCGAGGAAGGCCUCUUCCAAGCCCUCCCAGCUGCCAAUAGAAUUUUCAGGCAGACCAUUGAGCCAGUGCUGAGCUGGCCCCUUGAGUUUUAAAGGGAGGUAUUUGAUGGCGUGGAGGUCAUCACCGCGGGCCAUAUGAAUGUGGAGAAUGAAGUCUUCGAUCCACACCGCGGGGUCCGUGGUUCCAUCGUAUGGUUCUAUAUUCACGGGUUUGAACCCUUCUGGGAAUUCAUGAUCCAUGACCUCAUCGGUGAAGCAAUGAAGGUGUGCAGUGCCUCUAUAUCAGGUCGUAUCGUGACAUAGCUCUGAUGGAGUUCGUCUGCGGUUUUCAGCCCGCGCAUGACUAAGUUUGUCACGUCCUAAUAGGUGGCCGUCGUCGCGUGUCGAGGCACGUCCUCGCGAUCCGUAGAUUGAUCUGGUAUGUCCUGCUUUAUUGUUCAGGUUUUGCCGGAGGUCAUAUGUAUAACCAUGGGCUAAUUUACCUCUACCUAUGCGAUGAGGCGGGGCUGGCUGGUGUUCGGCGUGAGUUGUCGUUUUGUCCCGACCACGUGGUGGUCGGUUAGCCGCAUUGUACGCUGGAGGUAUGUAUUCCGGUGCCUCCUCGUCAAACUGAGGUAGCAAUUUGCAAUUUGGGUAGCUUUUGGUUGGGCGCUUGAGGCCUUAUUCUUCGGCUGCUAGGACAUUGGUACAUUUAUCAUUGAGCAGAUUUUGGUCAGCUUGAAGCUGCUGCUGCUUCUUUUUCAGGCUCCUUGCAGUGGCAAUUAGCUGUCGCUUGAAGUGCUCCUGCUCAAGAGGUUCCUCACGCACGAUGAAAUCGUUGGUGCCAGAGGCUCACCUCAUCCUCGGAGAGUGGAAGAUAACUUUCGUCCUCUAAGUCUUCAUUGGUGGCCUGCUUACCAGGGCUAGCCUGCCCAUCUUCCCGUUCAUCUUGUUCGUUAGCUGUUUCAACGGGGCUUCGUUAUCUUCAGCACCUUCUGGAGUGUUAUCUUCUCCUGUGCCGGUGUUGUUGUCUUUACUGCGACAUGACUUAGAGCGGCGCUGUUGACGCAGGCGCUUCGAUUGUAUUUUGGAAGGUUUAUCCUCAGUUGGAUCUGUCUUGUCAUCGCCGUUGUUCUCCUUUGGUGCAUCCACUAUGUAUACAUCAUACGAGGAAUUGGCCGUCUAGCGUCCGGUGAACGGCGGGUUCUGGGCCUCUUCUUCUCCGGCAUCAUCGUCCAUACCGUCGAUGUCCUCGGAGUCGUAAUCAAGUGUGUCGGUCAAACCCUCGACCGUGUCUAUGAAGUGGGUGGCGGGUGGGAAGCAAAAUUCUCCACCAUCAGCCCCUAGUUCGGGCCGGAUAUAGUUCGGCUGUGAGUCCUCCAUCAAGGAUAGGUUUUUUUAAUGAGUUUAGCAUGUCGCCCAAAGGCGAGAGCUGGAAGAUGUCUGCGGCGCUGAAUUCGAAGAUCAAUAAACUAUCAGGUUUGGCAUUCGCGGGCUCACAUGGUUCGGAACUUACGGCAGAAGAUGAGUCCGGAGUUCCGGUGGCACAGGUAUCGUGUGAGAUCAAGUCUAUGUGCGGCUCCAACACCAGGGAAUUUGUGGACUCCAUGGCGGGCUUGAGCUUCCAGUCCUUGGAUGCCGCAGUGUGCUACGCAUCUAAGGCCGGAGUGGUCACAAGAGCUAUCUCCUGGAUGCGGUCUGACGACAGAUUUAGGUCAUGUUCGUCAAGGUGACCGGGAGCAGUCGUCGCGGUCUCAAAUCCGGCGAAGAUCAAAUCUCCACGGAUGUCCAUAACAUAGUUUAAACUCCCAAAUCUGACUUGAUGGCCAGGGCGUAGCUAUCUAUCUGCUCCAGGUGGCCAAACGAGUUGGCCCGUAGUGCGAAGUAGCCGAACACGAAGAUCGGCUAGGGCUUGCUACUUUUCUCAGGAGUGACUGACGGCUCUACCACCCCGAUAGGGCAGGUUUGCCUCCCUGUCACCUUCGGUGAGCGCGACAACUACCACACCAAGGUCAUCGACUUCGACGUCGCCCACAUCUGUCUGCCAUACAAUGCCAUCCUCGGGUACCCAGCGCUAGCCAAAUUCAUGGCAGUCACCCACCAUGGCUACAACGUCCUCAAGAUGUGGGGAAGCGGCGGAAUCAUCAUGGUCCCUUGCGAAGAAUGAGACGCAGUGUGCUCCCUCGAGCGCGCCUUCCAAGUUGCAUCACUCGAAGACCCUGAUGCAAUGUCGUGUAGUACUCUCCUGAGGCCAACACCAAGAAGAAGAAGCAGCUGCUCCACACUAGACCUCAAGGGAGCAGCACCUCCGGUGGCACCACUUCAGGAUCUACGCCCGCGCCUGGGGCACCUCUCUCCCUCGCAUAGGGCGGCGUGCCCGGUGCCGUCCUCGGGCAGGGCUCAGGGUCUCUCUUUUGGAGGGCCCCAGACCUGGCCAGCAUCGCGAGGGAGGCGCUCGGGCACCACGUGGAGGUGUGCUGCAUGGCACGUUUGCCUUAGGAGGGCGCCAGGCGAAGAGUGCCUGGUGAGGAAGUCCUGGACUAAGGGGUCCUCAGGCGUCCGGCCUGUUAUCCAUGGGCCGGACUGAUGGGCUGUGAAGACAUGAAUGCCAAAGACUGCACUGUGUCCGGAUUGGACUCUACUUGGAGUGGAAGGUAAGCUUGGCGACCGAAGAUUCCUUCUUAUGUAACCGACUCCAUGUAAACCCUAGAUCCCGUCGGUGUCUAUAUAAACCGAAGGGGUAGUCCUGAAAGGGCACCACAUAUACUCAUUACCAUAUUCACAUAGGCUAGGCUUCUAGGGUUUAGCCAUUAAGAUCUCGUAGUAGAUCAACUCUUGUAAUACUCAUAUGCAUCAAGAUCAAUCAAGCAGAAAGUAGGGUAUUACCUCCAUAGAGAGGGCCUAAACCUGGGUAAACAUUGUGUCCCCCAUCUCCUGUUACCAUCGAUCCUAGACGCACAGUUCGGGACCCCCUACCCGAGAUCCGCCGGUUUUGACACCGACAUUGGUGCUUUCAUUGAGAGUUCCACUGUGUCGUCGAUGAAAGGCUCGAUGGCUCGCCUUGUCAUUAAAUACAACAUUACCGCAGGGGUAGUUUUGGCCUCGGGCCAAACCUUCCGGCUGGGCGACUUUACUAUGAUCGCUCGUUCGGCCGCGUAGCCGACGAUGACCUCUCGGGCCAUCAAAAAUCCCCUUCGCAUCAACUUCGAGCACUCCAAGCAGAUGGAUCCGGUUGAGUUUUCAUCCUUAAACAAGCUCCUAGAUUGCAUCGCCGCUUUGGAAAUCUUCACAGAUUACGAUCAGAUCGGGCCUAAAACCGAUCAGGGAGAAACCGAAACUCCACCGGUCACCCACCAGAUCGCGGCAGUCCUGGAGCAGGACGGCAGGUCUUCUUCUAUAUUGAAGACGGACUAUGUUCGGGUUGCCGUUCAUGAAGAGCCGGAUAUUCACCCGUGAAAGGACGCAACCAGCCCUCUGAACAUAGCAUCGAAUGACGGUUCCAAACAAUCAAAAGUUAUUCCGGAACCCGGACUGUCUAGUCCGGAAGAUCGUCGGACUCCGGACAACCGGUAAGGUCGGGGUUCGGAUUUAAUCCCAGUCACCCACAAGGACAUAGAGGCUCUCAUGAGCAUAAAACAACAAUCUCAGGAGAAGGUCCACCACUUUUGGGCCAGAUUCCUCCUUGUCAAGGACAAGGUGAAAGAUUGCCGUGACAAGGACGCAAUAUCAGCGUUCUGCAAAAAUUGUGCUGACGAAGGAAUCCUCAACACCAUCAAUCGAUGCCGCAUACUAAAAUUUGCUAACUUAGCAACCAUCGUACAAAAAUACCGCGCGAUGGAAAGCGCUUGGGAAACUCGGGCAGCUCGCUGGGAACCACCAGCCCCAACCCAACUUCCCCUACAGGCGAAAAGGGCAUACCCUCGGGGCACGCCCAGUCCAACAGUCAAAAAACACAAAGCCACUAUACGGCACGGCACCGUUCUGGAAGGGUGGCUCGAUGGCCCAUGCAAAAUACAUACAACAACAGAUACCGUGGCAACCCACAGCCUUAGAACAUGUUGGAUACUAUGACAGGUAGCCAAGAGCAGCGAGGACAUCCUUAUCAAGGACGCCCCAGAACAACACCCCUAGAAGACGACGACCCAAGAGUACUGACAUUCUUCGAGACAUUCGCUUCAAAUAACAAGUGCAAAAGGGCACUUCGUAGGAUCGGAAGUAUGUCUAGAGGGGGUGAUUAGACUACUUGACCAAAUAAAAAUCUAGCCUUUUCCCAAUUUUAGUUCUUGGCAGAUUUUAGCAACUUAGAACAAGUCAAGCAAUCUUAAUACAAUUCAAGCAAGCAUGCAAAGAGUACAUGAGCAGCGGAAAGUAAAGCAUGCAACUUGCAAGAAUGUAAAGGGAAGGGUUUGGAGGAUUCAAACGCAAUUGGAGACACGGAUGUAUUUGUUGUGGUUCCGAUAGGUGGUGCUAUCGUACAUCCACGUUGAUGGAGACUUCAACCCACGAAGGGUAACGGUUUCGCGAGUACACGGAGGGCUACAUGCACGAAGGGUCCACGAAGAAGCAACCUUGUCUAUCCCACCAUGGCCAUCGCCCACGAAGGACUUGCCUCACUAGUGGUAGAUCUUCACAAAGUAGGCGAUCUCCUUGCCCUUACAAACUCCUUGGUUCAACUCCACAAUCUUGUCGGAGGCUCCCAAGUGACACCUAGACAAUCUAGGAGACACCACUCCAAGAAGUAACAAAUGGUGUGUUGAUGAUGAACUCCUUGCUCUUAUGCUUCAAAUGAUAGUCUCCCUGUCGGUGUCAAAAUCGGCGGAUCUCGGGUAGGGGGUCCCGAACUGUGCGUCUAGGCGGAUGGUAAUAGGAGACAAGGGACACGAUGUUUUUACCAGGUUCGGGCCCUCUCGAUGGAGGUAAAACCCUACUCCUGCUUGAUUAAUAUUGAUGAUAUGGGUAGUGCAAGAGUAGAUCUACCACGAGAUCAAGGAGGCUAAACCCUAGAAGCUAGCCUAUGGUAUGAUUGUUCUAUGAUGAAGUUGUCCUAUGGACUAGAACCCUCCAGUUUAUAUAGACACCGGAUAGGUUUAGGGUUACACAGAGUCGGUUACAAUGGUAGGAGAUCUUGAAUAUCCGCAUCGCCAAGCUUGCCUUCCACGCCAAGGAAAGUCCCAUCCGGACACGGGACGAAGUCUUCAAUCUUGCAUCUUCAUAGUCUUGGAGUCCGACUGAAGGUAUAAUCCGGCUACCCGAACACCCCCUAAUCCAGGACUCCCUCAGUAGCCCCUGAACCAGGCUUCAAUGACG